rnacentral:rRNA from 1 species
AGCGAACGUUUGCGGCGGGCUUAACACAUGCAAGUCGAACGGGCUGUUCCUUCGGGGGCAGUCAGUGGCGCACGGGUGCGUAACACGUAGGUAAUCAACCCUCUGGUUGGGGAUAACACUUCGAAAGGAGUGCUAAUACCCGGUAUGGCGCAGCGGUCUUCGGAUCGCGGCGAGAAAGACCCGCAAGGGUUGCCAGAGGACGAGCCUGCGGCCCAUCAGCUAGUUGGCGAGGUAACGGCCCACCAAGGCGAAGACGGGUAGCUGGUCUGAGAGGAUGAUCAGCCACACUGGAACUGAGACACGGUCCAGACUCCUACGGGAGGCAGCAGUGGGGAAUAUUGCGCAAUGGGCGAAAGCCUGACGCAGCCACGCCGCGUGAGCGAUGAAGGCCUUCGGGUCGUAAGACUCUGUGGGGAGAGAAGAAUAAAGACCUGUGAAGAGCAGGCCUUGACGGUAUCUCCUUAGCAAGCACCGGCUAACUCCGUGCCAG